rnacentral:rRNA from 1 species
UACGGGGGGGGGGCAAGCGUUGUUCGGAAUUACUGGGCGUAAAGGGCGCGUAGGCGGCCUGCUAAGUCGGAUGUGAAAUCCCUGGGCUCAACCCAGGAACUGCAUUUGAAACUCCCUUUCUUGAGUGUCGGAGAGGAAAGCGGAAUUCCUGGUGUAGAGGUGAAAUUCGUAGAUAUCAGGAGGAACACCGGUGGCGAAGGCGGCUUUCUGGACGACAACUGACGCUGAGACGCGAAAGCGUGGGGGAGCAAACAGG